GUGAGGUCGACUGCAACAAUAAUAACUAUACUUGCCAAAUAUCCUCAAUGAACCUAAACAUUCCGACAUUCAAAAUAUUCUAAUCUCAAUAUCCCAAUAAUAUUGCUGCCUCAACGAAUCACACGCUAUGGACACGCGUCCUAAUAUGUAUUUCCAGUUAUUUCCAAUUCCAAAUCAAUCUUGAAGCCGCUCAAAUACCAUCUCGUUCGAAUGAGAAAAAUUAAAAAGAACAGCAGCG